AUACGGAGGGUCCAAGCGUUAUCCGGAAUCAUUGGGUUUAAAGGGUCCGCAGGCGGUCAAUUAAGUCAGAGGUGAAAGCCCAUCGCUCAACGAUGGAACUGCCUUUGAUACUGGUUGACUUGAGUUAUACGGAAGUAGAUAGAAUAAGUAGUGUAGCGGUGAAAUGCAUAAAUAUUACUUAGAAUACCGAUUGCGAAGGCAGUCUACUACGUAUAUACUGACGCUGAGGGACGAAAGCGUGGGGAGCGAACAGGAUUAGAUACCCUGGUAGUCC
rnacentral:rRNA from 1 species